CCUCCACACCAGCUCUCUCUCUCAGCGACUCUCUCUCUCGGCUGGCGUAGGAUGCGUUGUUGCGGCGUCCCGGGGAGGCGCAAGCGCGCGAUGCACGACGGCCGGCGGCGGUCAGCGGCAGGCGAGCGGGCGCGUGGCGGCCGGGGGGAUCGACGCGGAAAGCGGAGCUGCGGAGGCGGCGGCCGACCGGCGGGCGCGGCCACGUGGGGUUCGGGGGGCGGCGCAAGCGCGCGGUGCGCGAGGGUAGGCCGCGGUCAGUGGGAGGCGACCGGGCGCGCGGCGAGAGGCGACGGCCGUCUGGCUUCAAUUCUUUCCCCCCCUUUCUUGAUUUGAUUACAAGAACAAGAAGAACUGAGAAACAUAGAUGAAGCUGAGAAGUUUUUCCAGGCAGCCCUACAUGAAGCCAAGGAAGGAUUUCGGCUGUGAGAUCCACAUGUUGCAUCAGUCCUUAACAAUCUGGCAGAAUUUUAUAGGUUAAAAAAACAAUAUGAGAAGGCUGAGCUACUGUAUCUGGAAGCAAUUGAAAUCCUGGAAGAAUCAUUUGGAUCGGAUGAUAUAAGAGCCUUCUUGCAUCUCCUUCCUGCCUCUGGUUGUUUGACGAGCCUUGACGCUGGCAACUGCUGCAACACCACAUGCAC